rnacentral:rRNA from 1 species
CCUACGGGGGGCAGCAGUGAGGAAUAUUGGUCAAUGGACGAGAGUCUGAACCAGCCAAGUAGCGUGAAGGAUGACUGCCCUAUGGGUUGUAAACUUCUUUUAUAUGGGAAUAAAAUGUUCCACGUGUGGGAUUUUGUAUGUACCAUAUGAAUAAGGAUCGGCUAACUCCGUGCCAGCAGCCGCGGUAAUACGGAGGAUCCGAGCGUUAUCCGGAUUUAUUGGGUUUAAAGGGAGCGUAGGUGGAUUGUUAAGUCAGUUGUGAAAGUUUGCGGCUCAACCAUAAAAUUGCAGUUGAAACUGGCAGUCUUGAGUACAGUAGAGGUGGGCGGAAUUCGUGGUGUAGCGGUGAAAUGCUUGGAUAUCACGAAGAACUCCGAUUGCGAAGGCAGUUCACUGGACUGCAACUGACACUGAGGCUCGAAAGUGUGGGUAUCAAACAGGAUUAGAUACCCUUGUAGUC